GUGCUACAAUGGUCGGUACAGAAAGCAGCCACUAUGCGAAUAGGAGCUAAUCUUUAAACCGAUCUCAGUUCGGAUCGCAGUCUGCAACUCGACUGCGUGAAGCUGGAAUCGCUAGUAAUCGGAUACCAGCCAUGAUCCGGUGAAUACGUUCCCGGGCCUUGUACACACCGCCCGUCAAGCCAUGGAAGCUGGGGGUACCUAAAGUCGGUGACCGAAAGGAGCUGCCUAGGGUAAAACUAGUGACUGGGGCUAAGUCGUAACAAGGUAGCCGUACCGGAAGGUGCGGCUGGAAUACCUCCUUUCUAGAGAAAGACGACUUUGACUAUAGCAUCAAUCCUUUGCGUUUGCUAGCUGUCAUUUUUUUUAAUAACCCUUAUAGUAUCUCUAAUAGAGUCUCGUAGCUCAGCCGGUUAGAGCGCUACACUGAUAAUGUAGAGGUCGGCAGUUCGAGUCUGCCCGAGACUACUAAAUUCCAUAAAGGAAAAGGGGGAUUAGCUCAGCUGGCUAGAGCGCUAGAUUUGCAUUCUAGAGGUCGUGGGUUCGACUCCCACAUUCUCCACUAUUCUUAAUGUAAAUUAAGAUUAAGAGUUCAUUGACAUAUUGAAAAUAUCAAGUACAAUUCAUAAACUAUUCUGUUAUCCAAUUUGAUAGUUUUUUGAGAUUGUACAGAGUUAACGUAAAUAUGUAUUUAAUACUGUUAUUAUUAAAUACAAAAUAAUUUUACAAUUUAAGAAAGAGUUAAGAGUUACUUGUAACUUUUGAAAAGUUACAAUAGGCUAAUUAAGAGCGUAAGGGGAAUGCCUUGGCUCUCAGAGGCGAUGAAGGACGUGAUAAGCUGCGAUAAGCUGUGGGA
rnacentral:misc_RNA from 1 species